rnacentral:misc_RNA from 1 species
UCUCCGUUGGUGAACCAGCGGAGGGAUCAUUACCGAGUUUACAACUCCCAAACCCCAUGUGAGCCUUACCAAACGUUGCUUCGGCGGGAUGCCCCGGGCGCGGGCCGCAAGGCCUCAGCCCCGGAACCAGGCGCCCGCCGGAGGCCCAAACCAAACUCUUGUUUUUGUAGAAUCUUCUGAGUGGCCUUUUAGGCAAAAAAUGAAUCAAAACUUUCAACAACGGAUCUCUUGGUUCUG